UACGUAGGCAGCGAGCGUUGUUCGGAGUUACUGGGCGUAAAGGGUGCGUAGGUGGCGUGGUAAGUCGGAUGUGAAAUCCCGGGGCUCAACCCCGGAACUGCAUUCGAUACUGCCUUGCUAGAGUACUGGAGAGGAGAUUGGAAUUUACGGUGUAGCAGUGAAAUGCGUAGAUAUCGUAAGGAAGACCAGUGGCGAAGGCGGAUCUCUGGACAGUUACUGACACUGAGGCACGAAGGCCAGGGGAGCAAACGGG
rnacentral:rRNA from 1 species